GAUGGCAGCCAUAUCACCCAAGACUUGUUACCCACUGAAGCUAAGCAGGGUUGAGCCUGGUCAGCACCUGGAUGGGAGACCUCCUGGGAAAACUAUAGGUUGCUGCUGGAA
rnacentral:rRNA from 1 species